ACCCCCUUUUCCCUCUGAUGAAACCUCCCACGCCGCUCCUUCUCUUUCCCCAAUCCCCGCCAGUUCGCCACCACGCGCCAAUCCCGCCGUCGCCCGUCGAUCCGGCGCGCACUUCCACCCUCGUCUCUCUCCCUGGUCCAGCAACGUCACCCAGCCCCUUAGCUUUUCCUCCCGACACGAAAAUGUCCUUUUGACUGCCGUCUCCGUCUUGUUGGCCCGCAGAUCUGGCAGCCCUCGGCCACGACGCUGCGAGCUCUGGCCGGCUUGACCUCGUCGCCCCCAUCCAAUAGGUGCUCGACGCCGCUCCUCGGGACCGCGGCGGUCUUCUUCAUGGGCUCUCUCUCCCUUCACCCCCUACGCCAUGUAUCGGCCCCUUCCUGAAGCUCCUCCUCAUCCGGGUGGCCCCCUGAUGUCGCCGAGUGGACCACGCCCACUCCCGCCUCCGCCUGCCUGUACCAGGCCACAUCAGAUUCUGAAGGCGGUUUUGAAAGGGAGUGAGAUGAUGCUCGUCAAGACUAACUAAAAAGGAAUGGGAGACAGUACUGGAAGAAUCGUGAUCUAUGGCAAGGGUGAUGAUGUCUAUGGCGAUGAUUGUUAUGAUCUAUUUGGCGACGAGCAUUAUGAUCCAUAUGGUGAUGAAGGGUGACGAGUCUAGUGAUCUUUCUUCAAGACGUUCAACAAAGUGAAAUCAUGGGGUUUUGGUCAAUUUAGCUUAUGCAUAAUGCUUGGAUCAUUAUAUCUUAGUUACAUUUUUUUUGCAUUUUAAACUUCCUAGAUUGUUCAUCAUGAUCAAUGUAAUUUUGAUGCAACUCUUCUGAUAUUUUGAAAGCUGUGCUAUAUACAAUAUAUGUUACU